rnacentral:rRNA from 1 species
UGGGGAAUAUUGCACAAUGGGCGCAAGCCUGAUGCAGCCAUGCCGCGUGUGUGAAGAAGGCCUUCGGGUUGUAAAGCACUUUCAGCGAGGAGGAAGGUGGUGAACUUAAUACGUUCAUCAAUUGACAUUACUCGCAGAAGAAGCACCGGCUAACCCCGUGCCAGCAGCCGCGGUAAUACGGAGGGUGCAAGCGUUAAUCGGAAUUACUGGGCGUAAAGCGCACGCAGGCGGUUUGUUAAGUCAGAUGUGAAAUCCCCGGGCUCAACCUGGGAACUGCAUUUGAAACUGGCAAGCUAGAGUCUCGUAGAGGGGGGUAGAAUUCCAGGUGUAGCGGUGAAAUGCGUAGAGAUCUGGAGGAAUACCGGUGGCGAAGGCGGCCCCCUGGACGAAGACUGACGCUCAGGUGCGAAAGCGUGGGGCAGCAAACAGGAUUAGAUACCCUGGUAGUCCACGCUGUAAACGAUGUCGAUUUGGAGGUUGUGCCCUUGAGGCGUGGCUUCCGGAGCUAACGCGUUAAAUCGACCGCCUGGGGAGUACGGCCGCAAGGUUAAAAC